ACGGGAGGCAGCAGUGGGGAAUAUUGCACAAUGGGGGAAACCCUGAUGCAGCGACGCCGCGUGAGUGAAGAAGUAUUUCGGUAUGUAGAGCUCUAUCAGCAGGGAAGAAAAUGACGGUACCUGACUAAGAAGCCCCGGCUAACUACGUGCCAGCAGCCGCGGUAAUACGUAGGGGGCAAGCGUUAUCCGGAUUUACUGGGUGUAAAGGGAGCGUAGACGGCAAAGCAAGUCUGAUGUGAAAUGUUGGGGCUCAACCCCGAAACUGCAUUGGAAACUGUUUAGCUAGAGUGCAGGAGAGGUAAGUGGAAUUCCUAGUGUAGCGGUGAAAUGCGUAGAUAUUAGGAGGAACACCGGUGGCGAAGGCGGCUUACUGGACUGUAACUGACGUUGAGGCUCGAAAGCGUGGGGAGCAAACAGGAUUAGAUACCCUGGUA
rnacentral:rRNA from 1 species